rnacentral:rRNA from 1 species
UCCGUAGGUGAACCUGCGGAAGGAUCAUUACCACACCUAAAAAACUUCCAUGUGAACCGUUCUACUUGUUUUGUGCGCGAAUGCGAAAGCAGACGCGCUGAACGAAGGUUAGUGUUGGCGAAAGCUAGCAUUGACUGAUGAACUUUUAAACCCCUUUAUUCCUAAUUACUGAUAAAUACUCUAGGAACGAAAGUUCUUAGUUUUAAUUAGACAACAACUUUCAGCAGUGGAUGUCUAGGCUCGCACAUCGAUGAAGAACGCUGCGAACUGCGAUACGUAAUGCGAAUUGCAGAAUUCAGUGAGUCAUCGAAAUUUUGAACGCAUAUUGCACUUCCGGGUUAUGCCUGGGAGUAUGCCUGUAUCAGUGUCCGUAAAUCAAACUUGCCUUUCUUUUUCUGUGUAGUCAGGAAUUGAAAUGUGCAGAAUGUGAAGUGUCUCGACUUUUUAUUCAUUGAAUGGAGAAUUGAGUCCUUUUAAAUCGACACUGUCUCUCUAUAUAGUUACUGUGAUUUGCUUUGCAUGAACGCGGUGAUCUGCUGAUCGUUUGCGCAUGUUGGCGACUUCGGUAAGAACAUAUAGGGGAAACCUCAAUUUGCGGUAUGUUGUGGCUUCGGCUCGACAAUCUUGCUUAUUGUGUGUGGACUCUGUUUUUAUUCGAGGUGUACUAGCGUGUGUGGGCUUGAACGGUGGUGUUACUGUUUAUUAGUGUAUUGCAGCCUGUAGCGCAUUUACUCUUCGGAGUUUAUGUUUUAGAGAAAUAGGCCAGUUGGGAAAUCAAUGCUUUGAGUAAUCAUUGCAUCUCAAUUGGACCUGAUAUCAGGCAAGAUUACCCGCUGAAUUUAAGCAUAUCAAUAAGCGGAGGA